rnacentral:rRNA from 1 species
CUUAGGCCCGCAUUGUAAUUUGCAGAGGAUGCUUCUGGCGAGGUGCCUUCCGAGUUCCCUGGAACGGGACGCCAUAGAGGGUGAGAGCCCCGUAUGGAUGGACACCAAACCUGUGUGAAGCUCCUUCAACGAGUCGAGUAGUUUGGGAAUGCUGCUCUAAAUGGGAGGUAAAUCUCUUCUAAAGCUAAAUACCGGCCAGAGACCGAUAGCGCACAAGUAGAGUGAUCGAAAGAUGAAAAGCACCUUGAAAAGGGGGUUAAACAGUACGUGAAAUUGUUGAAAGGGAAGCGCUUGUGACCAGACUUGCGCCGGGCAGCUCAUCAGGGGUUCUCCCCUGUGCACUCUGCCCGGCUCAGGCCAGCAUCGGUUCUCGUGGGAGGAUAAGAACGGUAGGAACGUGGCCCCCCUCCGGGGGGGUGUUAUAGCCUGCCGUACGAUACUCCCGUGGGGACCGAGGUUCGCGCUCCGCAAGGAUGCUGGC